rnacentral:rRNA from 1 species
AUUGAACGCUGGCGGCAUGCUUUACACAUGCAAGUCGAACGGUAACAGGCCGCAAGGUGCUGACGAGUGGCGAACGGGUGAGUAAUGCAUCGGAACGUGCCCAGUCGUGGGGGAUAACGCAGCGAAAGCUGCGCUAAUACCGCAUACGAUCUAUGGAUGAAAGCGGGGGACCGAAAGGCCUCGCGCGAUUGGAGCGGCCGAUGUCAGAUUAGGUAGUUGGUGGGGUAAAGGCUCACCAAGCCGACGAUCUGUAGCUGGUCUGAGAGGACGACCAGCCACACUGGGACGGAGACACGGCCCAGACUCCUACGGGAGGCAGCAGUGGGGAAUUUUGGACAAUGGGCGCAAGCCUGAUCCAGCAAUGCCGCGUGCAGGAAGAAGGCCUUCGGGUUGUAAACUGCUUUUGUACGGAACGAAAAGGCUCUGGAUAAUACCUGGGGCUCAUGACGGUACCGUAAGAAUAAGCACCGGCUAACUACGUGCCAGCCGCCGCCGUAAUAC